GGUCGCGUGGCUCAAUCGGCAGAGCAUCGUGCUAAUACUUAUGUUAGCUUUAUACAGUAAAAUGUGUGUGACGCGAGGGUUGUGAGUUCAAGUCUCACCGUGACCA